rnacentral:rRNA from 1 species
AACGAACGCUGGCGGCGUGCCUAAUACAUGCAAGUAGGACGCAGUUGCGAGCGUGUGAGUAACGCGUAGGUCACUACCUGUUAGAGGGGGAUAACUAUUGUAGACGAUAGCUAAUACCGCAUACUAGUAGAUGGACCUGCGUUGUAUUAGCUAGUAGGUAGGGUAAAGGCCUACCUAGGCAACGAUACAUAGCCGACCUGGGAGGGUGAUCGGGCAAAAUGGGACCGAGACACGGCCCAGACUCCUACGGGAGGCAGCAGGAGGGAAGUUUUGGAAAUGGGGGGAACGCUGACCGAGCAAAGCCGCGGGAGUGAAGAAGGUUUUCGGAUCGGAAAGCUCUGUUGUUCAGGAAGCGGUACUUAACCAGAAAGGGACGGCUAACUACGUGCCAGCAGCCGCGGUAAUUC